rnacentral:rRNA from 1 species
AACGAACGCUGGCGGCAGGCUUAACACAUGCAAGUCGAGCGCCCCGCAAGGGGAGCGGCAGACGGGUGAGUAACGCGUGGGAAUCUACCCAUCUCUACGGAAUAACGCAUGGAAACGUGUGCUAAUACCGUAUACGUCCUUCGGGCGAAAGAUUUAUCGGAGAUGGAUGAGCCCGCGUUGGAUUAGCUAGUUGGUGGGGUAAAGGCCUACCAAGGCGACGAUCCAUAGCUGGUCUGAGAGGAUGAUCAGCCACACUGGGACUGAGACACGGCCCAGACUCCUACGGGAGGCAGCAGUGGGGAAUAUUGGACAAUGGGCGCAAGCCUGAUCCGGCCAUGCCGCGUGAGUGAUGAAGGCCCUAGGGUUGUAAAGCUCUUUCACCGGUGAAGAUAAUGACGGUAACCGGAGAAGAAGCCCCGGCUAACUUCGUGCCAGCCGCCGCAGUAAGAC